UACGAAGGGGGCUAGCGUUGCUCGGAAUUACUGGGCGUAAAGGGAGCGUAGGCGGAUAGUUUAGUCAGAGGUGAAAGCCCAGGGCUCAACCUUGGAAUUGCCUUUGAUACUGGCUAUCUUGAGUGUGGGAGAGGUAUGUGGAACUCCGAGUGUAGAGGUGAAAUGCGCAGAUAUUCGGAAGAACACCAGUGGCGAAGGCGACAUACUGGCUCAUUACUGACGCUGAGGCUCGAAAGCGUGGGGAGCAAACAGG
rnacentral:rRNA from 1 species